ensembl:lncRNA LINC01612 long intergenic non-protein coding RNA 1612
GCUGGAAGGACCACACAUGAGCAGCCUGUCUGAGAAAAAUCUGUUGCUGCUGUCUAGGAGCACGGACUAUUCUCUCAUGUUGAAUGUGGCACUUUUUACAUACAAGCAGGAGAGCAACUACACCAAGAUUUUGGAAAACAUGUUAUGUAAGGCCAUAUCUUAUUUCAUCUUUCCACAACAUCUGAUACAGUUGAUUCCUCUACUUCACCUUCUUCACUUUGCUUGAAGGACACCACAGAAAUAGAACAUGGCCAGACUCAGAAGUGCCCCUGGGACCCUCUUCCAAUUACCAUCAUUUUCCUUCUCUCCAAGUUAAUUGUGACCUCUAUGAUGGGGAUAUGAUAAAGAAGAAAAGUACCUCACAGCGAUGAUUGGCAUGUGAUCACUUAGCCAAUGAGAUAAGAGGCUGUAGAAACGAUGUGAUAAUGACAUCUCCUGAGUUGCAGGUCCAUAUUAGAAGUGGAUAUGAAGUAAACAUUGAGCUUUCCUCACAUUUAAUUAACAAGCUUUAUUAUAGAUACAGCUCAAAUUAGUUAAUUCAGGAAGCUUAUUUUGUAGAAAUUAAAACAUUAAUAAACACAUACAUUUAGAAAUAAAGAACUCGGCUGACCCUUUGACUCUUUGAAACAAGUGGCCUUCCAUGCUGUGAAAGAUUGUAGCCACUCUUUGAGACAUUGGAAUGGUGUCCAUUGCAUUUUAUCAAGUUAACUAUAGGUCAGCCUGGGAAAUCUGAAGUUUCCUUAUCUCCUGUCACUGUGGUUGCUGUGAGAUUUUGUGUCAUCACUGUGCUGUCUUCCCUCUCCACAUGAAGGUGAGCUGUCUGGCUUCACUCUAACGUUUGUGAUUUCACGCCCGACCUGAUUGUUGCCAAGCAAUUCCUUUGUUUGGAGAAUUCUGUGCUUUGUUUAGAAUUUUUUAAAGGUUCUUUUCCUGUGGUCAGAUUUCUGUUUGCUACUGUGUCUUAUGCCUUGUUCUCCUACAGAGAAGAUUCUUUGAAGUUAGUGGAAGCUCAGCUUAAAGGAAGAUCUACUGCUCUGUGUGGUGGAUGACCAUGGGGGAGCGAGAAGGCAGCCUCCGGCUUUUGUUUUGUGUGUGUGUGUGUGUGUGUGUGUGUGUGAUGUAC